AACGAAUGCUGGCGGCAGGCCUAACACAUGCAAGUCGAACGCCGUAGCAAUACGGAGUGGCAGACGGGUGAGUAACGCGUGGGAACAUACCCCUCGGUUCGGAAUAACUCAGGGAAACUUGAGCUAAUACCGGAUACGUCCAAGGUUUUAAUCGACCUUGGAGAAAGAUUUAUCGCCGGAGGAUUGGCCCGCGUCUGAUUAGCUUGUUGGUGAGGUAAUGGCUCACCAAGGCGACGAUCAGUAGCUGGUCUGAGAGGAUGAUCAGCCACAUUGGGACUGAGACACGGCCCAAACUCCUACGGGAGGCAGCAGUGGGGAAUAUUGGACAAUGGGCGUAAGCCUGAUCCAGCCAUGCCGCGUGAGUGAGGAAGGCC
rnacentral:rRNA from 1 species